AGAACGAACGCUGGCGGCAUGCCUAACACAUGCAAGUCGAACGCUCUUGGGAUUUCGGUCUCAAGGGAGUGGCGCACGGGUGAGUAGCGCGUGGGAACCUGCCCUGUUGUGGGGGAUAACCGAGGGAAACUUCGGCUAAUACCGCAUAAGCCGGCUGUCUUGCGAAAGAUGGCCGGGAAAGAUUUAUCGCGACAGGAGGGGCCCGCGUCGGAUUAGGUAGUUGGCGGGUAACGGCCCACCAAGCCGGUGAUCCGUAGUUGGUCUGAGAGGAUGAUCAGCCACACUGGGACUGAGACACGGCCCAGACUCCUACGGGAGGCAGCAGUGGGGAAUAUUGGACAAUGGGCGCAAGCCUGAUCCAGCAAUGCCGCGUGAGUGAUGAAGGCCUUAGGGUUGUAAAGCUCUUUCGCCCGCGACGAUGAUGACGGUAGCGGGAGAAGAAGCCCGGCUAACUUCGUGCCAGCAGCCGC
rnacentral:rRNA from 1 species